rnacentral:snRNA from 1 species
GUGCUUGCUCUGGCAACACAUUUACUAAAAUUGGAAUGGAACUGAGUUUAGCAAGGUCCCUGCAUGAGUAUGUCAGGAAAGUUUAUAUGGCAUUCUGUAUUUUU